UAACACGUGAGUAACCUGCCCCUGACUCUGGGAUAAGCCCGGGAAACUGGGUCUAAUACUGGAUAUGACCUUUAACCGCAUGGUUUUUGGUGGAAAGAUUUAUCGGUUGGGGAUGGACUCGCGGCCUAUCAGCUUGUUGGUGAGGUAAUGGCUCACCAAGGCGACGACGGGUAGCCGGCCUGAGAGGGUGACCGGCCACACUGGGACUGAGACACGGCCCAGACUCCUACGGGAGGCAGCAGUGGGGAAUAUUGCACAAUGGGCGAAAGCCUGAUGCAGCGACGCCGCGUGAGGGAUGACGGCCUUCGGGUUGUAAACCUCUUUCAGUAGGGAAGAAGCGAAAGUGACGGUACCUGCAGAAGAAGCGCCGGCUAACUACGUGCCAGCAGCCGCGGUAAUACGUAGGGCGCAAGCGUUAUCCGGAUUUAUUGGGCGUAAAGAGCUCGUAGGCGGUUUGUCGCGUCUGCCGUGAAAGUCCGAGGCUCAACCUCGGAUCUGCGGUGGGUACGGGCAGACUAGAGUGAUGUAGGGGAGACUGGAAUUCCUGGUGUAGCGGUGAAAUGCGC
rnacentral:rRNA from 1 species